UAGCUCAGUCGGUUGAGCGUGGCGCUGACAACGCUAAGGUUGUGGGUUCGAUUCCCGU
rfam:Apaloderma vittatum contig15546, whole genome shotgun sequence.